GACGAACGCUGGCGGCGUGCUUAACACAUGCAAGUCGAGCGGAAAGGCCACUUCGGUGGUACUCGAGCGGCGAACGGGUGAGUAACACGUGAGUAAUCUGCCCCUGGCUUUGGGAUAGCCACCGGAAACGGUGAUUAAUACCGGAUAUGACACAUUCUCGCAUGAGUUUGUGUGGAAAGUUUUUCGGCCAGGGAUGUGCUCGCGGCCUAUCAGCUUGAUGGUGAGGUAAUGGCUCACCAUGGCUUCGACGGGUAGCCGGCCUGAGAGGGUGACCGGUCACACUGGGACUGAGACACGGCCCAGGCUCCUACGGGAGGCAGCAGUGGGGAAUAUUGGACAAUGGGCGGAAGCCUGAUCCAGCAACGCCGCGUGAGGGAUGACGGCCUUCGGGUUGUAAACCUCUUUCAGUACCGACGAAGCGCAAGUGACGGUAGGUACAGAAGAAGCACCGGCCAACUACGUG
rnacentral:rRNA from 1 species